CAGAGGAGGAAAGGGGCCCCUGCCUUGCAUUCUUCUAUGUGAGAGAUUCAGGGAGAAGCUGCAGCCAUCUGUCCUCUUAGACACUUCCUUUAUGUACUCUGCAAUGGUAAAACUGGCUGCUGCAGUGGUCAUUCGGGCUCUUUUUUUCCCCAGUCAUUAUCCAGCAUGAGUUGCAGCAGUUUGAAUCUUUCUCCAACCCACUCAUUGCAUGUAUUGACUGUGGAGCUAGAGAGCCUGAUCCUAAAGCUGAGAGAUCUUCCAACCCAUCCAUCCCUAUUCUUACUUCUUUAUAAGGGAAAUGUUGCCUUUAGUAAAAGAAGAAAUUCUGUGGAAAAUACACUAGGAUCCUGGUGAUGAUGUCAUCCCCCUAAAUUUCCC